rnacentral:rRNA from 1 species
UACGUAGGGUCCGAGCGUUGUCCGGAAUUAUUGGGCGUAAAGGGCUCGUAGGCGGUUUGUCACGUCGGGAGUGAAAACUCAGGGCUCAACCCUGAGCGUGCUUCCGAUACGGGCAGACUAGAGGUAUGCAGGGGAGAACGGAAUUCCUGGUGUAGCGGUGGAAUGCGCAGAUAUCAGGAGGAACACCGGUGGCGAAGGCGGUUCUCUGGGCCGUAACUGACGCUGAGGAGCGAAAGCGUGGGGAGCGAACAGG